CCUACGGGUGGCAGCAGUGAGGAAUAUUGGUCAAUGGGCGGGAGCCUGAACCAGCCAAGUCGCGUGAGGGAAGACGGUCCUAUGGAUUGUAAACCUCUUUAGGCGGGGAGCAAUGCCGGGCACGCGUGCCCGGAGGGAGAGUACCCGCAGAAUAAGCAUCGGCUAACUCCGUGCCAGCAGCCGCGGUAAUACGGAGGAUGCGAGCGUUAUCCGGAUUUAUUGGGUUAAAAGGGUGCGCAGGCGGGCUGUUAAGCCGGCGGUAAAAAUUCAGGGCUCAACCCUGUCGAGCCGUCGGAACUGGCAGUCUUGAGUGGGCGAGAAGUAUGCGGAAUGCGUGGUGUAGCGGUGAAAUGCAUAGAUAUCACGCAGAACGCCGAUUGCGAAGGCAGCAUACCGGCGCCCAACUGACGCUGAGGCACGAAAGCGUGGGGAUCGAACAGGAUUAGAUACCCCAGUAGUC
rnacentral:rRNA from 1 species